AGCCUUCUGUAUCCGUGACGAGAUUUCGUCAGAGAUCAACCCAUUGGGCCUGACGCAACUUCUCAAAUAAAUGAAAGCA
rnacentral:pre_miRNA from 1 species